AACUUAACCUGUGAAAUGAAAGAUUUGUACACUGAAAACUGUGAAACACUGAUGAAAGAAAUUAAAAGACAUACAAAUAAAUGGAAAGACAUCCCAUGUUUCUGGGUUGGAAGACUUAGUAUUGGUAAAGUGUCCAUACUGCCCAAAGCAAUCUAGAUAUGAUUUUUUAAAGCUACCUUUAUGGCUGCUCAGCUAUGAAAGAGAAGGAAGGUAUUACUUGAGAAUUCCCAGAUUGUGACCACAGUUUUGUCUCAUAGUGUUAAUACAGCAACAUCUCUGUACUUGUUUCUGACUUGGACACUAUCCAACCUGAACCCUCUUCAUCUCUGGCUUCUCAUCUGGACUCUACGCCUUUUAUGGUGGCAGAGCUGGUCUUCAGAACUAGCUAGUCCAACACACCAGCCUGUGUAAGUUUCCAUUACAAUCUGUCCCCUUCUAUUAUCUCAUUCAAUCAUUACCCAACCCAGGUUUCUCUAACUUCCAACCCAAACUUUUUCUACCAUACCGUAGAAUCAUAAUUUCCCUCAUCAAUUAAAAACUACAACUAUGACUUUAGAAGAUUCAUUUCAGUAGUAUCAGGGCUCACAAUAUGCCUGACCCCUCUUGAAAUACACAAAUAAGCCACUGGCUUUUAGAUAUGGAUGAUUUACAGCCUGUGUAAUGUAAUGACCCACUUCAUGUGAGCAGCUCCUCUGGAGCCUUCUGAAUGGUCUUUUGGCCUUUAUGGUGAUCUAGUCAGCCCAAAUUCAACACACAAUUCCCCAACAACAUGUUUUUGUUGCUUCACAACAAGCCCUGUGCUACCUAUUCUGGAGGAUAUAGGGGUAAGAAAGAAAGUGUCCCCACUCUAAGAAUUUGUAAUAGGUAGCGUAUUCCAUUUUGGAGCAGCUAUGUCAGAAACACCUUCCUAAAAUUGAUUCAGAACUUCAGCUCACUGCAACUUCUACUCAUUGGCUCUUCCACAGUUUAAUACAUUCAUUAUGUGCCGGAGGGAGUAGGCUCAAGUGGGAGGGAAGUUUCCUCUCCCCCAUCCCUGCCAAUCCUCCGCAAGGACAGAGGAGUUACCAAUGAUGGGUCCUAAUCCAGACCAUACACUGUACCACAUUUGCAAGUGCACAGUGUCAUGUGCAUCAAAACAUUGUAUAAAUGCACAUGGGUCUUCUCUCCAUGCAGCUGUGUUGAAAGCUCAGCUAGAGGCCACUUAAUAUCCAGCUAUUAUAAUCUCCUCUCUUUUGUUCCCUGCGUGUGUAUGUGACAAACAUGUGAUCAGUUUGUUUUCAUGACCAGUACACCAAACCAAAGAGCUUGAGUUUUUAAGUUCCACUGGGGCUUGAAGAAAGAUAGAAAUCAUAAUGGGUUGUAUAAGUGAGGCUUUUGGUGUAAUCCAGGGAUACCAGAUUUUUUCCUUUGGGGUAAAACAUGCUAGUUCAAUCAAUUAUAAAGUAUUCAUUUUGUUUCUCACUUGCCAUUGUACCUUGUAAGUUUCCUCAGGAACUUCAUAGGGAAGGAGUUACUGAGAUGAAGCUAUGAUGUUGCUAUUUCCAGAAUUCUUGGCUACGAUGCUAUCAGAACCUUGUCGCAGUUUGCAAAAGAAAGAAUUUCUAAUAUUACAGCCAUUUAUCUACUGACUGAAUGUUAUCUUCAGCAUCUUCUGAAAGCAUUCAUGCAAGCUGUAUUUAUACACUUCCAGUGACAGGGACUUCUUUACCUUACACAGCCAGUCUUUUCACCUUUGCACACUUGUGAUGAAUAAGAAGUUCCUUUGUGGAUCGAGCCAAUUCUGAUCCCCAGUAAUUUCAAUCUCAUGGCCCUAUUUCUAUCCCUCAGAGAUAAAAUGGAAUGAACUUAACAAAGUCUAUUCCUUUUUAGUGUAACGGCACAUCAACUUGACUACAAUUCCCCCUAGUUAUGUCAAGGUCUGAUAACCCGCGGGAAGGAGAUAUUCCCAAGUGUUGGCUGUUUCUCUGUAAUUGACUUUUCUGCUCAGUGCUCAGCUCAGGCAAGCCACUGUUGAUCUGCCAAUCUGAGACCCCCUCUGUGUACACAACCCAAUGGAGUGCGACAUCCAGAGUACAGGUAAUGGGUAUGGAUGAAAGUCAUGGCUCCUGGAACAUCUCCAUUUCAUUUGUGAUGAAGCAGCCCAUUCUCAGAGCCCUACAGGAGACUUGGCUUUGCUACCCAAUGUUCCUAACAUCAGCUGAAUGUGAAGUUUGCAUGCAAAUAGCAUCCUUGUUUAGGUGCCAGAUGGUCAAGUGAUCCUUGGUAUACCUGGGGCAUCAGUAUAUACACAUAAAGACAGUGUUUAUACAUCAUAACAAGUAAAAAGCCUUUAUACAUCAUCCAAGAGUGAGAGAGAGAUUGUGGUAAACAUACAAGAAUAAGAGCUAUGGAACCAGACACACCCAAUUCAAACCUUGCUUUCUGUCUUUUAAAAGACUUGCUAUAUGUUGUGCCCUUAGGCCCAGCUACUCUAUCUCCCUGGACUUCAUUUUCCCCCUAUAUUUGCAAACCAGAGAAGCAAUAUCCUCCCCCACAGUGUUGUUAGUAGGAUAAAACGAGUGAAGGGUCUAAUAUAAUGCUUGACACUUAAAAUAUACUGCUUUGACACUCAAAAAUGUAAGUUCUUUUCCACAGUUAUUCAGUUUACAAGGGUUUUUUCCCCCUUUUAUUGUCUCAUAACACCUAGUACUUGUUUGAUCUAAUUUCAGGCUUUCAGGCAGGACCAUUGCACGUGUAAAUGCACUCUGUUCUAAGAAGAAAACCAGAACAUAGAGGAGAUUGUGCAGCUUUAUCCUUGGAAAGUUCUCCGUCCAUCCAGCUUGCACUUUCAUGCUUCCAUCUCUCCAUCUGCAAAAUGCUUGGGUUGAAUUAGAUGAUCUAGAAGGUCUUACACUCUCUUCUUACUCUCAUCCAUUGUUAUUAUAGCAGUUUGGAGCUAUUUUUGUUCUGUUCCUGAAGGAGAAGUGAGGGGAGAUGAGCAGUUCUUGGGCACCUGUUGGCUUGCAAGGCCUCUGUUAGAUACUCUGUUUAGUAUCGUGUUAGGCUCACUACGACCCCAUGAGGGAGUUACUAUUACUCUUUACUCACAGGUAGAUGGAGAAUGUCAUAGAGAUUAAUGACAUUGGCCAAAUUGCUCCUGGUUAGUAAGUGGCAGAGCUUCCUAAUCUAGAUGAGGACAUGGACGCUGGGAGUGGGAUGCUUGUCCUACUCCUCAGAGAUACCAGGGUCCCUUACCUAACUCAGUACUCUUAUCCCUACAAGAGAACAUCAUGGAACAGAGAAAGGGCGCAUAGUCCCAAGACUUAGGAAACCAAGCUUCUGGCUUUUACUCUACCUCCAAGUUUCAUCCUAAAUUAUUCUUUCUCAGAAGAACUGAAAAAUUACCUGCUAUAAUUACCUUCAUGGUCACCUUGAAAGGUGCAUGAGCAGGGUAAAGAGGAAUGAAAAGUGGUACAAGGAGCUGCAGGUAUGAGCUGUAAGGCUCCACUGCUCACUGUAUGGCCUUGGGAAGGUUGCUUGCACCUCUGAGCCUUAGGGUCUUCACAUGUCCAAUGAAAGUGUUGAACCAGUUUCUUAAACUGUGGUCCCCACACCAGCAGCAUCAGUCAGUAUCAUCUGGGAACUGCUUAGAAGUGCACAUCUCAGUCCCCACCCAAGACCUAGUGAAUCAGGUGCCCUGAUAGUGGAGCCCAAUAAUCUGUGUUUUAAUCAGCCCUCCAGGAGGUUCUGACCGUGAUAAAGCUGAAGAACUGGUGGGUGAGCUGGGUAUAAGGACUCUGCAUCUGGCAGAAAGCCCUAGAAAAAUGGCUGUGGCUGGAACUGAGGGAAGAAUCAAGUCACUUCCUCAAGGCAGGAGAAAUGAAUGAAUUUGCGUUCUGUGUGUAGCAUCCUGCCUCCAAGUUAAGCCUCUAACACACACUUGUUAUUUUAUCUUGCUUCAUAUUUCUUGACCUUUUUCACUGAUUUCUUUAUCUGCAAGGGCUGGGGGAGAGCAAAGAUAUUUGCCUCCUAAAUUUCCUGGGAAUUGAAGCUGCAUGAGCAGCUUGUGGGAAGUGCCUGGCACAUAGCAGCCUCUUGAUAAGUAGUCGCCCAAACUCUCUGGGUCUCCACCCUUAGGGUAAAAGGUAAACAAUUUUGAAAGGAAACUCUUCCCUUAUCUGGGUGACAUGGGAUUUUUCUGAGCCAACCCGAGCAGGUCACCAAAGGAAACCUAGUGCAUCAGAGGUGCCACGACCCACAGAUUCUAAGUAUGCCUCCAGCCUAGAACUUGUGAGUUUGUCUCUCGAGGAAGCUCUGUGUCUUCAUAGUUGACUGCAACUCCUUCAGGACAUGUGAACAGCAAGGGCAUGUUUUUUUAACUAGCAGGAACCUACUUAUGCUUUAUGCAAAUUAAAAGCAGAAAGUAUCCUGAUAUAGGACACGGACCAUGAUCCGGGACUGGAAGGUGGUAAAGUCUUGGUGGGGACUGUUGGUAACAGAGACUGUAUUACCACUCUGGCUUUGUGGGUCUCAUUUCUCUCCAUUCUCCAGUUCACAUGAUGGGAAAUAGCCACCCACACCUCUGGGGUUUUCUGGCCACGUGACUCUGUGCCCUCUGCCCUUCUCUUUUGCAGUCUACCUCUCUUAAGUCCAAAUCCCCGGAGAAGAGAAUUUGGCUCACAGGCUUGGUCCAGUCGUCUGUGGCCAGAGACACUGGAUCACCUUAUACUCUUAGUUACUGGGAACCACACCCCUGGGGUGAGAAGGAGUUUUGAGAAGCUGUUAGGAACCGGGCAGACUGUUAGAGAUCUUCAUUUUGACAAAGAUGGGAGAGAAAUCUUUUGACUCCUCCUCAAGAACCAGGGCUGCCGAUUGCUGUCAGGUGCAGGGUAUGAUCAAGACCCUGCCAUUUUGUGUUCACAGUAAAGGUUACAAUUUAUAAUGCUAGCUCUCCUUUUAAAUUUUGCUGCCAAGAAAGGUUGACUCGACAGACAUGGGAUAUGGAAAGAGAAUUUUUUAUUCUGCAAAUACACCAAAGUUCAGCGUCAGUAGGGCAAUACGACAAAACAUAAAUUACUGUUAUCUUUAGUGCAUGUUAUGCUUAUAGCAGCUUAUUGAAUCUCUAUGUAAGGAAGUUCUGCUUUGAUGAAACAUUUUUAUUUUUUUUAGUUUUUCAAGAGGUGACUGAAUACAACAAAAUUAUACUUACUUAAGGCACAAAAUGGGUGUCAUGUUGUGGAAAUUCUCUGUGAUAAGAGUCUUUUCUCAUCCAGCCAAAACUUAACUGUGAUGUGGGCUGCGAUUCCCUCAAAUGAAAAAUGACAAAAGUCAGACCUAGUGAUGGCCAAUGCCCUUCUCGCUGCCGAUGACAUCUAGGCCUUCUGUGAUGCCCUGUUGAUAGAGAUUUUGUGACUUGGCAGUUCUCCUCAGGAUGCUGGCUCCAUCGGGGUCCCGGCAGGAAGACGAGUGGCACAUUCAGAGGGUUUGCUGGAAAAAGUUUAAUGAGGGGAUUGUUUACAGAGAUUUGGGUGAAGCAGCCGGAGUGGCAAAAGUAGGUGGCUACUGUCCUGUAACCUCAGGAGAGAAAGCCACCUGAGGCCGGCAGAGAGGGAGUGAGGAAGAAAUGCCUGCAUGCCUCUCUCCUGCACCCUCAGACUCUAGCUGGCACCUCCCACUGAGUCCAGUGAGAAGCCAGCAUAGAAGGUCGCCCAGGGAUACCGUCUCCCUGCUGCAGAGCAGGGCACAUUCCAGAUCUGGGGGAACAAACGGAAGCUGAAGACAACAGGAGGGUGUGGUGGAUGUCUCUCCAACUCUUGUGCUGCCAGCUGGGGACAAACACCCUGUCCUGUCUAACAGAGAAUCCACACUGCUUCUGUGGCCUUGGGGUGUUGCUGUCUGUGGCCUGACCCCUGCUGGAUAGACUUGAAGCACAGGGGCUGUGCUGGAGAGCUACUGAUUGUAGACAUCCAGUUCCUAGAGGAAAAGGGGGCAGACCCCCACAGCAUCCCCUCCCCUCAGGAGGUAAUGGGGCCAGGGAUGGGCUUCUUCAGGCUUCUCAAGCCCUUUCUGUUCCAAGCUACCCCAUCGGCAGCUGCCAUCCUGAACAUGGCCUUGGGACCAGUGCUGACCAGCGCUCCCUUCAAAAUCCUGCAAUGGUUCACCAGUGCCCGUUAAAAAACUUUCUUCCAGUACUUGUGCCCAAGUUUCCUGCAGGUACAGGUGUUUCCUGUCAUAGGAAAACUUCUCUUGGACUGUUUCUUUCCUUCCCCUGAGGUGUGCUUUCUCUCCAUCUCCCUGGGAAAACACGACCUAAUGUGGAAGUGAGCUCUCCUUCCUUUGACAAACAACUUCCCUUCGUACCUCUCUUAGUGCACCUGUGACAUGUUAACCGGGCCUUGUUUAAGUUCUCUUCCUGUUUCAUCACUGCUUCAUCACUGCUUCUUAUUUUUUUUUAAUUUUUUUAAUGUUUAUUUCUUUUCGAGAGAGAGAGAGAGAGAGAGAGAGAGAGAGAGAGAGAGUCCAAAGCAGGCUCCACACUGACAGCACAGAGCCCAAUGCAGGGAUCGAACUCAUGAACCGUGUGAUCACGACCUUAGCCAAAGUUGGAAGCUUAACCGACUGAGCCACCCAGGCGCACCUCAUCACUGCUAUUUUAGCAGACCUCUUUCCUGUUUGUUCCCACAAGUCCAAGUCUACUCCAAGGUCAUCUCCUGCUGUACUCAUCACUGCAAGGAACUAUACUCCCCAAGAUCUUUUGCUCUUUGGCUUUCAAGUGGUUUCAGCCGAUGGGUGGGCCUUGGCAGAAGACUGGACAGGAGAGAAGCUGGGCUUCUGGAAACAUCUCCCACUUUAGCACCAUCUCUUCUGGGAUCCAGCUCCUGGAGGGCAGUUCCCACUGCGGUUCCCACUACAACAAAUCUCCUGGAGGGUCUUCAUGCCUAGACUCUGGUAGCACCGUCAUUUCCCCAUGACCCUAAAGUCCUAAGAUUUAGGCAGCAGCUUCUUACUGCUGGAACCCUGUAUGAUCUGUCAGUUCCCUCAUCAUCUGUGUAACUGAUCCUGUGUGUUAAAUUUCCUCUGCUUGAAAUAGUUAAGAUAAUUUUCGUGCUCCUCACCGGCCCAGAUGCAUCAUCUCACCCCCACGUGGAGAAGACAGCGUGAGAUUGGGGAAAGUGUUUUCAUCUUCAUCACAAAAGAUACCCAGGAUCAGAUUCCAGGUCUGCUUUUUUGACUCCAGGGCCUUCAGACAAGGUGCGCAGCCUCUAGCCAAAGCCAAUUGGCUGUUUUCCUAGACUCCUUGGGAAGAUUUUCAGUGAAUUCACAUUCACAUUUAGAUGAAAAUGGUAUGAAAAUAACCUGGCACAUGGUCCAUACUCAGUAACCUAGAGUCAUAUUCUUCAAUAUCAACAAGAAACAGACUCACCUCUUUUCCUGGUCCCAGUUGUGGGCUUUGGGACUUUAGCCAUUUGUGAGUAAAUGCUACAGCCUUUGUAGGAAUGAAACGGUCAGAGUGCCAUGAGGAAAGUCAAAGAAGGCAAAGAAGAGAAAACUAUCCACUGAAUGGCUGUCCCCAUUCAGGAAUUGUGCUAGGACCCCCAAGUGUACCUCCCGGUUUGACUUUCCCUGCAGGAGAAGAAACAGUGGGAAAGAGGAAGACAAAACCAGGAACUUGUCAUUAUCAACACUGCCUGCCCUCCAUUGGCCAGGACAUGGUCCUCACAUGGAAAGGACAUCUGUCCUUUCCACAGAAGGAAACCAGGCCUCUGGGAGGUAUGGUAACUUGACUUGACUAAAGACACACAACUAGUGCAGUGGUUAGAUUCCAGAACUUUCCAUGCCUGGCAUCCACAGUUGCCAUCAGGAUGGAAGAUAGAAGGAAAGUUGCAAGCUUCCCUGAAAAGAAAGAAGACACACAGAGGCCACAUUAGGUCUCAAGACAGGAAAUUCACUUCUUGUGAAGCUUGCAAAGCAAACCCAAGAGGAGCUUUAAGAAGUAGACAAUUAUGUGGCAGAUUCAUGACUUCACUCUUCAAGGAAAAUACUUCUGGAUCCAGCAAGGAAGACAGUCAUGGGCCAUUGGUUUCUAAAAUUGCUACUUCUUCUCCAAAAGCCCUCAGAUGAAGAAGCUGCCCACAGUCGACCCCUCUCACAAGGCUUGACUGAAAACCUGGCCCUGUGUCAUCCAGUGAGUCAGUGGAUUGCUGUUUGAUGUCAAUGCUGGUCCAGCAGUGGGUUUUCCAGAAUGCAGAGGUGGAAGGCAAAGCAGUCUCCUUCCCUCAUGGAGCGCAGGUCAGUAGUCUGGCAUGCUGCCACAGGCUGUUCUUCAGAGACAACCACACUUGAACUGCAGGUACCAGGUGCAAGUGCUGAUCCUUGUGUGGGCUGUAGCUGGUUAGUUCAGACUUACUGGUGCUGAGGGACACUGUAAUGGGGGUGUAUGCAGACCUAGAAACCAGAUGGUCUGUGUUCUAAUGCAGGCAUGUCCUAUGAAUGUUUGGGCAAUUUAUUUGACCUGGUCUGUCCUCCAGCCCCAUCCAUAUCUGAAAAGUGGGAGUCCUGAUAGUAACUCAUAGGGUAGCAGGGAAGAUUAAAUGUUUGGAUACACGCAAAGCACGGAGAACAGUGCUCAGCAUAUACAAAGUACACCGUAGUUGUGAGUUACAUAAAUAGGAGUCCUAGAUCUAUCGCUGCUGACCUGUGUGACCAUGGGCAUUCAGUCUCCAACUUUGGCUUCUGUAUAUGUAAAAUGAAGCAGAUGGAAAUAUAACCAUAUCUGAGUCAGGAGAUCUGGUUUCUGGUCCCGAUCUGCCCUAAUUAGCUCUGGAUAUUGGCAAGCAAUUCUAUUUCAUAGAACUUCAGUAUCCUCACCUAUAAAACAAGAGAGCAGGAUUAAAUCAUCUCUAAAAUUCUAUUAGUCAAAAGAUAGAUGUUUCUAUUAUCUUAGUAUAUUGCUAUGUACUGGUCAAUAUCAGUGAUCCUUUAAAUCCAUAAUGCAGUUUUUACUGUUGAUAUAUAAUUAUGAUUAUUUCUUGGGGUUGAAUCAGUUGGGAAAAUAAAGUCUCAUAUUCUAUGUGCAACAACCCUAUGAGAGAAUAAUAUUGAUGGGAACCACUAACGCUGCUUUAGUGCUUACCAUGUGCCAAGUUCUGUGUGAAAUAAAUGCUCUACUUCAUUUAAUCUCACAGUAGCCUUCUGAGUUAGGGAUUACUAUCCUUACUUAUUCCCACUGCUCAGAUAAGGACACCGAGGCUCACAAGUUUAAGUAACAUGCUCAGUGCUACACAAAUGGCAGACGGUGGAGCUGGGAUUCAAGGAUGGCCCUAUGUGACCCAUAAGUACAUGACUGUUCUGCAGACAGUUAUUAAUGAACCUGCCUCACAGAGAAGACUCUCGGACUCAUUCAGCAAAUAAUGUGCCCAAGUUCACUUAUAAGUUAGAGGCACGGCUGAGACCAGGCUUUCUCUCGCCUCAUCUGCAGCCUCCCAAACCCGCUUGCUUGUGAAUCAAUGAAUACAAAUGAGGGCUGAUUUGUAUUCAUUUCCAGCUAACCAGCAGAUUUACACUCUCUCUGUUGCACACCUCCAAGAAACACAUCCUCAUGCAUAUACCAUCAGGGUUUCAGGGACCUGUUCUCUCUCUCCCCAAUUCACUCCCUGGUCCUGGGAAACUAAGAUCAUAGCCCUGUCUGUGAGCAUAUCAGAACCAGACUCCAGCAAUAGCCACAGUCAACACCAGUAGAACAGUGGUAAAUGCUAUUGCUUUACUUGGAAGGGAAACCAGAGACGGAGGUCCCUAAGUGUGGAUGACACAACCACUCAAGGUAGAACAUACCAUGAUCAAUCUCCACCGGGAGCAGUUGUGUGAAUUUGAAGGUAGGUAUGUUAGCUGACUUAAAACACUGCACCAUGUCAGAGGACACCCAUUCUUAAAUUCUUGAGUGGUGGAAAUUGAGCCAGUGGACAGAUGACAGAGGGAUCCCAUGAGGCUGCACCUGCCUGUCGAUAGCCACUGCAAUAUCUGUUCUACCUGGGCCAGUAAGGUUAACUUUGACUUAAACAAAGAGAAAUCCCCACACACGAAGAAUUAAAUAAUGAAGACAUCGGAAGCUAUGGGUGGGAGGGGUUCAGGCAUGGAGCUGUUAGGAGCUCAACAAUACUGAUACCCAGGUCCUUUCAUCUAUAUUCUGCUGCCAGUAUCAAUAGCUUUGCCUGAGGUCUGACCUCUUAUUGUUAUUGUCACAAAGUGGUAGCUGGUGGCAAUCAGGACUAUACACUUUCGUAUUCAUCUCCAUGAAGGAAAGAGAAACCCCUCUUUCCAAAACACAGAAUAUGAUCUUUCCAUCUUUCCUUUCUAUUUGAUUGGUUCAAGUUAGGUUAUGGCCUAACCCCAGGCCAAUAGCAGUCACCAGGGAGAGUUCAUGCACUGAUUAUAUUAGGCUAAUCAGAGGUUAACCAUAGAAUUUAUGCCAGGAUAGAGUGGCUUCCUCUGAGUCACAUGGAUUGCAUGGCCAAUGAGUAGACACAUGAAUAAAAUGUGGUUCCUAUUGGAAAGGUGGAAGGAUUGCAGGGUAGUUGACAGUGUUCAUUACAGUUCCCUUCCUACAACAUAACAGUAUUGGAACCCUUGACUUAUGCUCAAUCACCAUGUUUCAUUAUCCCGGACCCAUGAGUUAAUUAGGUUCUAAUCCUGUCUCCUCAGUAAGUCUCAUGACUUCUGCUUGAUUGGCUGGAAUAGAAGCUUUCUCUCUUCCUCUCUGUAAUGGUAGUUUGUGGCUAGAAGGCUCUAGAUAUGCUGUUGCCAUUUUUUCCCACCACAAGGCAAAAGCAACCCAAGGAAGAUGUCAGGACACAGAGGAUUCCUGAAAAAUGGUACAGAACUCUGAGGACACCAUGGGCCUCUGACUCAAACUGUACCUAGAACUCACCUGAGCACUGAACCUCUCAAUCAUGGAGUCAACCAAUUCUAUUUUUAAAUCCAACCUCAGUUUUGCUUUCUGCUUCUUACAACAUGAAGAAUCCUUAUUGACACAGCAGAAUCGAUUUCAAUUCAAUGAAAAUGUUUCUAAUCAUCAGAGCUGCUUCCAAAAUAAAGCAGGCCACCUCCUGUUCUCCUCUGUCUUCCAUCGCUGGAGGUGUUCAUGCAGAGACUGGCCAACCAUCUGUCCAGGAUGCUAUAAAAAGGAUUUCUACAUUGGUGGGAAGCUGAAAAACCACCUUCUAAGAACCCUUCCAAUUCCAAUAUGCUAAUACCCCUAUUAAGCCAAGAAGAAUGUGGAAGGUAUGCAGAAACAUGCAUAGGAGAAUAUAAAUCAAAGUUACUUGGAUGAGAGUCUUUCUCUCUGAAGUAAGACUAGAGAAGAAGCAUGAUUCAGUCAUUUGUUCUUUGAUUCAGUCAUUUGUUCUUUGAUUCACUUUUAUUCAACAGAUGUAUAUUGAUCUCCAAAUAUGUGCUAAGCACUAAAGAUUGAGAAAUAAAUAAAAACUAAGAGCCUGUUUUCA